rnacentral:rRNA from 1 species
ACGGGAGGCAGCAGUGGGGACUAUUGGACAAUGGGGGAAACCCUGAUCCAGCGACGCCGCGUGAGUGAAGAAGUAUUUCGGUAUGUAAAGCUCUAUCAGCAAGGAAGAAAAUGACGGUACUUGACUAAGAAGCUCCGGCUAAAUACGUACCAGCAGCCGCGGUAAUACGUAGGGAGCAAGCGAUAUCCGGAUUUACUGGGUGUAAAGGGAGCGUAGACGGCAAAGCAAGUCUGAAGUGAAAUCCCGGGGCUCAACCCCGGAACUGCUUUGGAAACUGUUUAGCUAGAGUGCAGGAGAGGUAAGCAGAAUUCCUAGUGUAGCGGUGAAAUGCGUAGAUAUUAGGAGGAACACCAGUGGCGAAGGCGGCUUACUGGACUGUAUCUGACGUUGAGGCUCGAAAGCGUGGGGAGCAAACAGGAUUAGAUACCCUGGUA